UGCCAGACUCCUACGGGAGGCAGCAGUGGGGAAUAUUGCACAAUGGGGGAAACCCUGAUGCAGCGACGCCGCGUGAGCGAUGAAGUAUUUCGGUAUGUAAAGCUCUAUCAGCAGGGAAGAAAAUGACGGUACCUGACUAAGAAGCCCCGGCUAACUACGUGCCAGCAGCCGCGGUAAUACGUAGGGGGCAAGCGUUAUCCGGAUUUACUGGGUGUAAAGGGAGCGUAGACGGCUGUGCAAGCCAGAUGUGAAAGCCCGGGGCUCAACCCCGGGACUGCAUUUGGAACUGUGUGGCUGGAGUGUCGGAGAGGCAGGCGGAAUUCCUAGUGUAGCGGUGAAAUGCGUAGAUAUUAGGAGGAACACCAGUGGCGAAGGCGGCCUGCUGGACGAUGACUGACGUUGAGGCUCGAAAGCGUGGGGAGCAAACAGGAUUAGAUACCCGUGUAA
rnacentral:rRNA from 1 species